GCCAUUAUUCGAGCUCUAUUAUGCCAUCCGUGUCACUGCGCCGGCAGCUUGCAGUUUGUAGCUCCUGAAGAUAUGCAUAGUUUGCCAUCAUUGUUCUUCAUUUUGCAUGUCAUAUCCAAUACAAUUUCAAAUAGUUUAACACAGGAGAAUGGAAGUUAAAUAUUAGCGUACCAGCUUGUUGCAUCCUAUGGAGUACCCAAAAAAUUGACAUAUUCAGCAUUCAGAGUACAGAUGUUUAGCUCAUAGAAGCGCUAAAGCCUAACAGGCAACCACUACAAUUCAAAGAAUCAAGGGUGUACUUCUAUGCUCUAACACCUAACAGGCAACAACUACAAUUCAAAGAAUCAGUGUGCUUCUAUGCUAAAAAAAUUGUUAAAAUAUACUUAUUAAUAAUUUCAAGCAAAUUAAAAAUUGUAUAUAUGCAGUUCUUUCAGAUAAUACAAUGUUUAGACUUUAGAGGCAAAUCAAAGCAAGCUGGCAAGGGACAAGGUCAUGAACUUAGCACAUGCAAUGUUUAGACUUUAGAGGCUAUCUCUUUGGUCCUUAUUGGAGCCAGUAGUGGUAGUGUUUGGGUGAUUGGAUAUCACAAUGUGCUGCCAUACUGACCUGCUUAAUGGCUCAUGGGCAUGCUUCAUGAGGACUACAUGUAAGUUGGGUCCAAGAUGUGAACAGUGAGGAACAGUUCUGUUUGCAAUGAGAUAUUAAUUAUUUAAGAUCUGAAUGUCCCCUGAGAUUGAGAUAUGUAGUCUGAUCGUUGUUGCCACUGCCUGCAAUAAGUUGUUUUUGAACGACAACUAGUUUUAAUGUGUUCAGGGAUCCAAACAAGUGAACAACGUGCCCAACAAUUUCAUAUAACCUCUUUAGCUGGUAGUCUGUUUGACAUCUCAUGUGAACUUCAUUUCAUAGCUGCUUCUUACACUCUCCAAUAUGGACCUACCGGACUACAUUUAGCUUAUUAUCAAUAUUGAGUUCUGAACAGUUCUACUCAACGAUAUUUCCCAGUUGAGACUUGAAGCAAUCAUAUCUCUUUCUGAAAAAUAGAGCAGGAACUAACAUCAAGAGCAAAAGAAAGAGAACCCAUGUUUCCUGGUCUCAAAUGUGUCCUGUGUGCAUGCCCUCAGGCAACUUGCUGCAACAUCAAGAAGUAUAUUCUAGUUUUCAUUUGCAGCACGUCAUGUGGUCGCUUCAUUCAACCCAUGUUUCCUGGUCUGUAUUUUGCUGUGGGCACUACCUGGUUUCAAGUUUCAAAUGAAAAGGCUGAUUCGUCACCAUCCAAUGGAUACCUAAAUAGACCCAAUUCUCAGGGCGUCUAUAUGAUUGGAAUUUUAACCAGGGUGUCAUCGUGAUGUAUGAUGUUGAAAUUUUGGACUAUUGUGCAACAUCAUCAUUUAGCUCAGCGUUGCAGGAUCAGACCCUCAAAAGCGGUACUCAAGAAAAAAAAACACAUCCCAUAUUAAAUAUUGCAACCACGACUAUAUCCUUCUUUGGGACAUAUAGUGUGCCAGAUUAUUCUAUAGAAACGGCAUAUUCUGAAAGCAUGAAAGCAUUCAGAGGUAGUGGCAACUUACAAGCAUUGCAGGAGUAACCUCUGGCACUCGUCGAGAUAUAUCCCAAAAUCCCAAAUGUGGCUAGAGUUCCCAUGUCAAAUAAUAAUCGGCAACCUGUCCAUUAUCGUGUAUCAUUAUAUGACUCUUAACCGUAAUUUCUACGAAACAGAAAGGCAAAGGCAUUAGAAGAUCUCACCGGGAUGUGCAAUGGAAGAGGUGCUCGAGCCGCCGCGCGGCGCACGCACGCGUAGAAGGGACCCCCACGCGCGCCCGACGCCGCCGCCAAUCGCCCCGUACCGGGGGGCAUGAGCGGAAGAUUUGGUAGCGCUCGCGCCUGAUCCGCUUCCCUGAUAGACGGAGGCUUGGUGGCAGCCUCGUCCCCGCUGCGCUCGCCCAUCGUCGAAGCAGGCGAGAGCAAAUCCGACCUACCGAGCCGCAACUUCCUGGGUAAACG
rnacentral:lncRNA from 1 species